UUCCGAGUUGGCUAAUGGGUAGGCCCUAAAUUUUUGGUAUUUACUGUCCAUGUUCGAAUCAUGGCUCGGGAA